rnacentral:rRNA from 1 species
GAGUUUGAUCUUGGCUCAGGAUGAACGCUAGCUACAGGCUUAACACAUGCAAGUCGAGGGGCAUCGGGGGCGAAGCUUGCUUCGCCCGCCGGCGACCGGCGCACGGGUGAGUAACACGUAUGGAACCUGCCCGCCACAGGGGGAUAACCGGGAGAAAUUCCGACUAAAACCCCGUAUGCUCACAGGGGCGCAUGCCCCGGGGAGGAAACACCGGAGGGUGGCGGAUGGCCAUGCGGCGCAUUAGCUAGUUGGCGGGGCAACGGCCCACCAAGGCGACGAUGCGUAGGGGUUCUGGAGAGGAAGGUCCCCCACAUUGGUACUGAGACC